AAUAGAUACCCUGGUAGUCCACGCCGUAAACGGUGGGCACUAGGUGUGGGCAGCAUUCCACGUUGUCCGUGCCGUAGCUAACGCAUUAAGUGCCCCGCCUGGGGAGUACGGCCGCAAGGCUAAAACUCAAAGGAAUUGACGGGGGCCCGCACAAGCGGCGGAGCAUGUGGCUUAAUUCGACGCAACGCGAAGAACCUUACCAAGGCUUGACAUACACCGGAAACAUCCAGAGAUGGGUGCCCCCUUGUGGUCGGUGUACAGGUGGUGCAUGGCUGUCGUCAGCUUGUGUCGUGAGAUGUUGGGUUAAGUCCCGCAACGAGCGCAACCCUUGUCCCGUGUUGCCAGCAGGCCCUUGUGGUGCUGGGGACUCACGGGAGACCGCCGGGGUCAACUCGGAGGAAGGUGGGGACGACGUCAAGUCAUCAUGCCCCUUAUGUCUUGGGCUGCACACGUGCUACAAUGGCCGGUACAAAGAGCUGCGAUACCGUGAGGUGGAGCGAAUCUCAAAAAGCCGGUCUCAGUUCGGAUUGGGGUCUGCAAC
rnacentral:rRNA from 1 species